rnacentral:lncRNA from 10 species
UUUCAGAAUGAGUUUUUUUCCUGCUGUAGAAGAAGCGCACGGGAGGCAGCAGAGACAGCAACUUCUGCCAAGGUUCAACCUGAUCAGAAAUCGCUCAGAGCUCCAGCACCCGGGACUGAGGCAGAAGGGCUCCGCCAGGAAUAACGUUUUUUAAAGCACAGGAUUGCUGUGUGUGUGUGUGUGUGUGUGUGUGUGUGAGAGAGAGAGAGAGAGAGACAGAGGAAAGAGGAGGAGGAGGAGAGAUUGAUUGAUUGAUUUUUUUCUUUUCCUUCUCAACAUGUCACUUUCCUGCAUGGGAAUUCCUGAUAUUCCUGGCAGCCCGGAGAGAGGGGAGAGGCCCCCUGGUGACUUAUGACCCCCGCAGGAGUAACCAGAGAGCGCGCGCGAGCGCCCAGCGCCUGGCUCAAGACGAAGAUUUAACCGAGAACAAAAGAACGUUUGCCAAUCAGAAAACGCUACCCGAGAACGAGGAUAACCCCGCUUUGUGUUUUGAAAACUCUUUAAUUAGCCUGGUUUCUAAGACGCAUUAAAACAUUCCUACGCAGAUUCUAAAUGGAGGAUCAAAUGGUUGCUUCUGCAACGAAGAUGGGAUCCCGAAAGGGCACACGCCGCAGAACCAAGGCACACGGGGCCACUGAGACGCCCGGCGCGUCGUACAGAGUGUUCCUGGGCGCUCGGUCUCAGGUUACUUCUAGAACCAGUCUCCCCAACGCCGUCUUCGUUUCCUUAAAACCUCGCUAGAGUCACCCCAGUUCCCCAGACUCCAGGCCGUGCGCGCGGGCGGGGUGGCCUGAGCCCGGGUUCCCCGCUCUCCCUGCUUCGGGCCCUUCCUCCGAGGGGUCCUUCCUCCCGCCGUCACUCGGCCCCCUCCGCCCGACUCGGGUUUCUCCUCGGAGGCGGCCCCUCCUCCUUUUUAUAACUCGGGGGAGGGGAGAGGGGACUGUGGCCUCGCGUGGACUCUUUGGGUCCGGGGGGAAAGAGGCGAUCCGCAAGGCGCACCCCCUUCUCGUCCCGUCCCAAACCCCACAUUGAGGACCCGGCGACCCGAAAGCCCCGCCAGAGCCAGCCUUUGCAGUCCUAACGCGACUCCUGGUCACGUCUCUCCCCGAAGGGGCGCUGCGCGGUCCUCGCUCCCCUCAAACGCCGCUGGCGAAGGCGCCCCUGCUCAGGAAUGCGCAUCUGAGUGCACCAGGAAGAGGAACAAAUCUUUGAAGCAAAUUCCCUUUCUGCGCGUUUUCGUCCCUGAGCGAAUUCAGGGUAAAAGUUUUUCCGAACUUUUCCCUCCCAGUCCCCCGCCCCUCCCCUCAGGAAUCCGCCCAGAGCGCCGCGGACACCGCCUCCGCCACUCCCGCGCCCGCCCCUUCCGACUUCCGCCCAAUCCGAAGGCGGCCACCGAAAAAACAAAGGCCGCCAUUGGGCCGCCGGGGCCUGGGGCCGCCCCCGGAGU